rnacentral:rRNA from 1 species
GAUCCUGGCUCAGAUUGAACGCUGGCGGCAUGCCUUACACAUGCAAGUCGAACGGUAACAGGUCUUCGGACGCUGACGAGUGGCGAACGGGUGAGUAAUACAUCGGAACGUACCCAGUCGUGGGGGAUAACUACUCGAAAGAGUAGCUAAUACCGCAUACGAUCUGAGGAUGAAAGCGGGGGACCUUCGGGCCUCGCGCGAUUGGAGCGGCCGAUGGCAGAUUAGGUAGUUGGUGGGAUAAAAGCUU